GAUGAACGCUGGCGGCGUGCUUAACACAUGCAAGUCGAGCGGAAGGUCGGGAAGCUUGCUUUUCUGAUGAUUGAGGCGGACGGGAGUGUAACAAGAGCAUAACAUACCUUUAAGACUGGGAUGACUAUGGGAGACCUGAUCUAAUUCUGGAUAAUAUUUAUAAUCGCAUGGUUCAACAGUGAAAGACGGUCUUGCUGUCCCUUAUCGAUGGAUCCGCGCUGCAUCAGCUAGUCGGUAAGGUAGCUGCCUAGCAAGGCAAGGUUGCAUAUCCGACGUGAGAGGGUGAUCGGCCGCCCUGGAAGUGUGACACGCACCAGGGUCCUACGGAAGGGACCAUUAGCGAAUCUUCCGCAAUGGGCGGAAACCUUACGGAGCAGCACCGCGUGAGUGAUGAAGGACUUCGGAGCGUAAAACGCUGUUUUUAGGAAAGUACAUAUGUGUAAGUAACUGUGCACAUCUUGACGGUACCUAAUCAGAAAGCCACGGCUAACUACGUG
rnacentral:rRNA from 1 species